rnacentral:rRNA from 1 species
GACGAACGCUGGCGGCGUGCCUAAUACAUGCAAGUAGAACGCAGUUGCGAACGGGUGAGUAACGCGUAGGUACCUGCCUCAUAGCGGGGGAUAACUAUUGGAAACGAUAGCUAAUCCCGCAUACUGUGAGAUGGACCUGCGUUGUAUUAGCUAGUUGGUGAGGUAAAGGCUCAUCAAGGCGACGAUACAUAGCCGACCUGAGAGGGUUAUGUGCGACACUGGUACUGGGACACGGGCCAGGCUCCUACGGGAGGCAGCAGUAGGGAAUCUUCGGCAAUGGACGGAAGUCUGACCAGGCAACGCCGCGUGAGUGAAGAAGGUUUUCGGAUCGUAAAGCUCUGUUGUGAGAGGAGCGGUAACUAACCAGAAAGGGACGGCUAACUACGUGCCAGCGGCCGGGGUAAUUC